rnacentral:rRNA from 1 species
GACGAACGCUGGCGGCGUGCUUAACACAUGCAAGUCGAGCGGUAAGGCCCUUUCGGGGGUACGACGAGCGGCGAACGGGUGAGUAACACGUGGGUGACCUGCCCUCAGCUCUGGGAUAAGCCUGGGAAACCGGGUCUAAUACCGGAUAUGACUCCAUGACGCAUGUUGUGGGGUGGAAAGCCUUGUGCGGCUGAGGAUGGGCCCGCGGCCUAUCAGCUUGUUGGUGGGGUGAUGGCCUACCAAGGCGACGACGGGUAGCCGGCCUGAGAGGGCGACCGGCCACACUGGGACUGAGACACGGCCCAGACUCCUACGGGAGGCAGCAGUGGGGAAUCUUGGACAAUGGGCGCAAGCCUGAUCCAGCCAUGCCGCGUGGGUGAAGAAGGCCUCGGUGUAAG